UACGAAGGGGGCUAGCGUUGUUCGGAAUUACUGGGCGUAAAGCGCGCGUAGGCGGCUUUGUAAGUUAGAGGUGAAAGCCCGGAGCUCAACUCCGGAAUUGCCUUUAAGACUGCAUCGCUUGAAUCCAGGAGAGGUGAGUGGAAUUCCGAGUGUAGAGGUGAAAUUCGUAGAUAUUCGGAAGAACACCAGUGGCGAAGGCGGCUCACUGGACUGGUAUUGACGCUGAGGUGCGAAAGCGUGGGGAGCAAACAGG
rnacentral:rRNA from 1 species